UUUCGGCCCUUUUGAAGCUAUGCUUUAUAACACUAUUAUAAAUUAUAGUCAAAGUGAGGCCAAGAUUAAUUUACUGUCUUGGUCACUGAUUGAUGAAUUAAUCAUUAUUUCAGUAUUACCCAGGCAGUAAACACUGAU